GACGAACGCUGGCGGCGUGCUUAACACAUGCAAGUCGAACGGAAAGGCCCUGCUUUUGUGGGGUGCUCGAGUGGCGAACGGGUGAGUAACACGUGAGUAACCUGCCCUUGACUUUGGGAUAACUUCAGGAAACUGGGGCUAAUACCGGAUAGGAGCUCCUGCUGCAUGGUGGGGGUUGGAAAGUUUCGGCGGUUGGGGAUGGACUCGCGGCUUAUCAGCUUGUUGGUGGGGUAGUGGCUUACCAAGGCUUUGACGGGUAGCCGGCCUGAGAGGGUGACCGGCCACAUUGGGACUGAGAUACGGCCCAGACUCCUACGGGAGGCAGCAGUGGGGAAUAUUGCACAAUGGGCGGAAGCCUGAUGCAGCAACGCCGCGUGUGGGAUGACGGCCUUCGGGUUGUAAACCGCUUUCGCCUGUGACGAAGCGUGAGUGACGGUAAUGGGUAAAGAAGCACCGGCUAACUACGUG
rnacentral:rRNA from 1 species